rnacentral:rRNA from 1 species
AUUGAACGCUGGCGGCAGGCUUAACACAUGCAAGUCGAGCGGGGUGAUGGUGCUUGCACUAUCACUUAGCGGCGGACGGGUGAGUAAUGCCUAGGAAUCUGCCUAUUAGUGGGGGACAACAUCUCGAAAGGGAUGCUAAUACCGCAUACGUCCUACGGGAGAAAGCAGGGGAUCACUUGUGACCUUGCGCUAAUAGGUGAGCCUAAGUCGGAUUAGCUAGUUGGUGGGGUAAAGGCCUACCAAGGCGACGAUCUGUAGCGGGUCUGAGAGGAUGAUCCGCCACACUGGGACUGAGACACGGCCCAGACUCCUACGGGAGGGAGCAGUGGGGAAUAUUGGACAAUGGGGGGAACCCUGAUCCAGCCAUGCCGCGUGUGUGAAGAAGGCCUUAUGGUUGUAAAGCACUUUAAGCGAGGAGGAGGCUCUUUUGGUUAAUACCCAAGAUGAGUGGACGUUACUCGCAGAAUAAGCACCGGCUAACUCUGUGCCAGCAGCCGCAGUAA